rnacentral:rRNA from 1 species
GGGUGAGUAACGCGUGGGUAACCUGCCGUAUACAGGGGGAUAACACUUAGAAAUAGGUGCUAAAACCGCAUAAGCGCACAGGAUCGCAUGGUCUGGUGUGAAAAACUCCGGUGGUAUACGAUGGACCCGCGUCUGAUUAGCUUGUUGGCGGGGUAGAGGCCCACCAAGGCGACGAUCAGUAGCCGGCCUGAGAGGGUGAACGGCCACAUUGGGACUGAGACACGGCCCAAACUCCUACGGGAGGCAGCAGUGGGGAAUAUUGCACAAUGGGGGAAACCCUGAUGCAGCGACGCCGCGUGAGUGAAGAAGUAUUUCGGUAUGUAAAGCUCUAUCAGCAGGAAAGAAAAUGACGGUACCUGACUAAGAAGCCCCGGCUAACUACGUGCCAGCAGCCGCGGUAAUACGUAGGGGGCAAGCGUUAUCCGGAUUUACUGUGUGUAAAGGGAGCGUAGACGGUGAAGCAAGUCUGAAGUGAAAGGCGGGGGCUCAACCCCCGGACUGCUUCGGAAACUGUUUGACUGGAGUGCAGGAGAGGUAAGUGGAAUUCCUAGUGUAGCGGUGAAAUGCGUAGAUAUUAGGAGGAACACCAGUGGCGAAGGCGGCUUACUGGACUGUAACUGACGUUGAGGCUCGAAAGCGUGGGGAGCAAACAGGAUUAGAUACCCUGGUAGUCCACGCGGUAA